UUUUUUAAUUGGGGUAGCCCCAAAAAUAUUGGGACAUAUAAAAAAAGAAAAAAAAGAAUAAGUGCACUUGAGUAUAACAAUGGCUGGGUGAGGCCGGUAUAAAUGUCUAUUCUGCACAAGGUACAGACAAGUCUGGUGGGAUCCAUGCCUGGUUCAUUUUAAUAAAGAUGAGCUUGUCCACGUUGGCCGUGGACAGGCGGCUGCGCUUGUCUGUGAUAACCUUGUGCGGAUCGCACGUCCCCGUGACGGCGACAACGCAUUCGGAUGUCUGCCCUAUCAACUUUCGUGCUAUUUUCCGCGACUACCAUGUUUAGGGUUCGAUUCCAGAGAGGGAACCUGAGAAACGGAUACCACAUGCAAAGAAGUCAGCAGGCGCGCAAAUUACCCACUCCCGACGCGGGGAGGUAAUGACGAUAAAUAACAAUACACGACUCUUUCGAGGCCCUGUAAUUGUAAUGAGUCCACUUUAAAUCCUUUAACAUGGAUCAAUUGGAGGGCAAGUCUGGUGCAGAGCGACUGACCCGUGCAUGCUGCAGCUGAAACUCCACUA